AUGCAGCUGCGGAUCUCGCCGAGCAUGCGCAGCAUCACCAUCUCCAGCAGCAAUGGCGUCGUCGACUCCAUGAAGGUGCGCGUCGCGCCGCAGCCGCCCCCGCCCCCGCCGCCGCUCGCGCCGCCGCUCGCGCCGCCGCCCGCGGCCCGCCGCGCCGGCGGGGCAGGCGGAGGGGGCGGGGGGUGGGGCGCCGCCUGGUACCUCCGCGCCGUCGCCUUCCCGGCCGUCGUCGCGCUCGGCUGCCUCCUGCCCUUCGCCUUCAUCCUCCUCGCCGUGCCGGCGCUCGAGGCCGGCGGGACCAAGUGCUCCUCCAUCGAUUGCUUGGGGAGGCGAAUAGGACCUAGUUUCCUUGGUAGGCAGGGGGGUGAUUCUACGAGACUGGUGCAAGACCUGUAUAGGAUUUUUGAUCAAGUUAACAAUGAGGAAUCCACUUCCGAUAAGAAGUUACCAGAAUCAUUCAGGGAGUUUCUUUCGGAGAUGAAGGAUAACCAUUACGAUGCUAGGACAUUUGCUGUCAGGUUGAAGGCUACGAUGAAAAACAUGGAUAAGGAGGUAAAGAGGUCAAGGCUCGCAGAACAGCUGUAUAAACAUUAUGCUUCAACUGCUAUUCCCAAAGGCAUUCAUUGCCUGUCUCUGCGCCUUACCGAUGAAUACUCCUCAAAUGCUCAUGCAAGGAAACAGUUGCCACCACCUGAACUGUUACCGUUGCUUUCUGAUAAUUCCUUCCAGCAUUAUAUUCUUGCUAGUGAUAACAUCCUUGCUGCUUCAGUCGUUGUCAGCUCAACUGUACGGUCUUCCUCGGUACCUGAGAAAGUAGUCUUCCAUGUUAUCACUGAUAAAAAAACAUAUCCAGGGAUGCAUUCAUGGUUUGCCCUUAAUUCUGUAUCACCUGCAAUAGUUGAAGUGAAAGGUGUUCAUCAGUUUGACUGGUUGACCAGAGAGAAUGUCCCAGUACUAGAGGCUAUAGAAAACCACCGUGGAGUCAGAAAUCACUAUCAUGGAGAUCAUGGAACAGUUUCCAGUGCAAGUGACAACCCAAGGGUGCUUGCUUCCAAGCUGCAGGCCCGAAGCCCCAAAUACAUAUCCCUGCUUAACCAUCUGCGCAUCUAUUUGCCUGAGCUCUUUCCAAGCCUCAACAAGGUGGUCUUCCUUGAUGAUGACAUUGUUGUUCAGCGUGAUUUAUCUCCUCUUUGGGAGAUUGAUCUUGAAGGGAAGGUUAAUGGCGCUGUGGAGACAUGCAGAGGUGAAGAUAAUUGGGUGAUGUCUAAGCGCUUCAGGACAUAUUUCAACUUCUCUCACCCUGUUAUAGAUCGAAGUCUUGACCCAGAUGAAUGUGCAUGGGCAUAUGGGAUGAAUAUCUUUGAUCUGGAAGCUUGGAGGAAGACAAAUAUUAGGGAUACAUACCAUUUCUGGUUGAAGGAGAAUCUAAAAGCCGGUCUUACUCUCUGGAAAUUCGGUACUUUACCACCUGCGCUUAUAGCAUUCAGGGGUCAUGUCCAUGGUAUCGACCCAUCUUGGCACAUGCUUGGCUUAGGAUACCAAGAAAGCACGGACAUAGAAAGUGUUAAGAAGGCUGCAGUGAUCCACUACAAUGGUCAGUGCAAGCCAUGGCUAGACAUUGCUUUUAAAAACUUGCAACCGUUUUGGACCAAGCACGUAAAUUACUCCAACGACUUCAUUAGAAACUGCCAUAUUUUGGAGCCCCUAUACGACAGAUAA
rnacentral:rRNA from 1 species